AAAGGAAACCGUGGUGAACAUUCUGCUAUUUUAAUGGAGACAGCAUUCCAGAGCCACUCAUUGCCUUCUCAAAUCUAGGACAGCUUGAGGGAUGUGGAUCUGGAAUUCUUGGAGACAUUGCUCAGGGGAAUUGGCAGUUAUGGAGUAGUGACGCAUUAUAGGCGUCUGUAAUACUUUACAGCAUGCCACUGAAAAGGGAAAAGCAGCUGACGUCAUGAAACACAGAUUCUCCCCCUAACUCUGCCAAGCUUCUGUAUGUAGCAUACACACAAAAAAUGGCUGCUGUUCUCCAAACUCUUCUGCUAUUUCAUUCUAAAAAUAGCUCCUGUGCAAUCAAUCCCAAUUGUUGAGCGGCUGGAGGAGCUGCGAGACAAGGACCUAAAGAGCUGCAAUUAGCAUGGUAACUAUAGCAUAGAGUGCUUAUCAAUUAAUGGCACCACACUACUGUUUCAUAAUACAAAUAACUCAGGAAAUGUAGAAAGACAGGAAUUACUUCAGGAAAUGUAGUUUAUAUGGUCAUUAUAUAAUUAUUUAUAUUUUUAUUAGAUGUGGUUUCAGAGGCAAAUGAUUUAUUUAUUUAAAAUAUUACUUAAAUAUGAUCUUCAUUACAGCUUUUUUCUACCUCAGGCCCCUGAUUCAUUUCCAUCUGUUUUCAAUAUACUCAGAACUGUUUCAGAUUUAAAAGGAUCUGGCCUUUUGAAAUAUAAUGAGAUAUGAAACCACUCAUACGGGGGAAAGAAAGUAGGAACUAUUUUUGGGGGGGGGUUGGGAGGGCAGUGUGUGUAUGUUUAUUUUCUUGUUAAUUACCCAGUUUUCUGAACUCAACCCUUGAACCUCCGCAUGCAGAACACUGUAUUUUCUUAUUAUUUCUUAUUGCUCUUCAAAAACAAUAACAGAUCUUCCCAGUUCUACUUAUCUUAGAAACCUUUCCUUUAGUGGUAAUUUUAUUGUAAUGGUUGUUCCAAUGGGACUGCCUGCAUGAAUAAGGAGGAAACUGACUGAAGACUUGUGAAGCAGUUACAAAGUUUUUAAAAUGAACCCGCUUAUUUUAGGAUAGUUUAGAGGGCAAGGCUUUUCUUCAGUAUACCACAUUUACUUGCAAGGCUUUACUACAUGUGAUAAACUUUA